rnacentral:rRNA from 1 species
AGAGGUUGAUCCUGGCUCAAGAUGAACGCUGGCGGCGUGCCUAACACAUGCCAGUCAAGCGAUUCUCUUCCGAGAACAGCGGCGGACGGGUGAGUAACGCGUGGGUAACCUGCCCUGUACUCACGGAUAACAUACCCAAAGGUAGGCUAAUACGGGAUAAUAUAUAAAGGGCGCAUGACUUUUAUAUCAAAGAUUUUUCGGUACAGGAUGGACCCGCGUCUGAUUAGCUUGUUGGCGGGGUAACGGCCCACCAAGGCGACGAUCAGUAGCCGACCUGAGAGGGUGAUCGGCCACAUUGUGAACUGAGACACGGUCCAAACUCCUACGGGAGGCAGCAGUGGGGAAUAUUGCCCAAUGGGCGCAAGCCUGAUGCAGCAACGCCGCGUGAGCGAUGAAGGCUUUCGGGUGGUAAAGUUCUGUCCUCAAGGAAGAUAAUGACGGUACUUGAGGAGGAAGCCCCGGCUAACUACGUGCCAGCAGCCGCGGUAAUACGUAGGGGGCUAGCGUCUAUCCGGAUUUACUGGGCGUAAAGGGUGGGUAGGCGGUCUUUCAAUUCAGGAGUUAAAGGCUACGGUUCACCCGUAGUAAGCUCCUGAUACUGUCUGACUUGAGUGCAGGAGAGGAAAGCGGAAUUCCCAGUGUAGCGGUGAAAUGCGUAGAUAUUGGGAGGAACACCAGUAGCGAAGGCGGCUUUCUGGACUGUAACUGACGCUGAGGCUCGAAAGCGUGGGGAGCAAACAGGAUUAGAUACCCUGGUAGUCCACGCCGUAAACGAUGAAUACUAGGUGUCGGGGAGCAAAGCUUUUCGUUGCUGCCGCAAAAUCAGUAUGUAGUCUUCCUGGGGAGUAUGUUCGCGAGAGUGAAAAUCUAAGGAAUUGACGGGGACCCGCACAAGAGGUGCAGCAUGUGGUUUAAUUUUAGACAACGCGAAGAGCCUUUCCAUCGUCUUUACAUCCGUCUUAAGUGCACGUAACGGUGCCGUUCUUUUGGGACAGCGGAGACACGGGGUGCAUGGGGGUGUUGAGCUCUUGUGUUGUGAUAUUGGGUUAAGUCUCCCACUGAGCGCGACCCCUAUCCCCAGUAUCGGUCAUUUUAGAUGGCCCCUUUGAGGAGAUCGCCCGGGAUUACCUGGAGGAAGGCGGGGGUGAUGUCCAAUCAUCCAGCCCCUUAUGUGUUUGGGCUACACACGUGGCACACAUUGCGUAAAUAAUAGGGAAGCGAACCUGCGAGGGUGGGCAAAUCCCUAAAAAUACCGUCCCAGUUCGGGUUGCAGUCUGCAACUCGCCUACACGAAGCUGGAAUUGCUAGUAAUCGCGGAUCAGAAUGCCGCGGUGAAUACGCUCCCGGGUCUUGCACACACCGCCCGUCA